GACGAACGCUGGCGGCGUGCUUAAUACAUGCAAGUCGAACGGAAAGGCCCUGCUUUUGUGGGGUGCUCGAGUGGCGAACGGGUGUGUAACAAGGGAGUAACCUGCCCUUGACUUUGGGAUAACUUCAGGAAACUGGGGCUCAUACCGGAUAGGAGCCCCUGCUGCAUGGUGGGGGUUGGAAAGUUUCGGGGGUUGGGGAUGGACUCGCGGAUUAUCAGCUUGUUGGUGGGGUAGUGGCUUACCAAGGCUUUGACGGGUAGCCGGCCUGAGAGGGUGACCGGCCACAUUGGGACUGGGAUGCGCAGUAGACUCCUACGGGAGGCAGCAGUGGGGAAUAUUGCACAGUGGGCGGAGUCCUGAUGCAGCAACGCCGCGUGCGGGAUGACGGCCUUCGAGUUGUAAACCGCUUUCGCCUGUGACGAAGCGUGGGUGACGGUAAUGGGUAAAGAAUCACCGGCUAACUACGUG
rnacentral:rRNA from 1 species